rnacentral:rRNA from 1 species
AAGUGGAGCAAUCCAUGAGUAAAGUGGCGACCGGGUGAGUAACACGUGACUAACCUACCUUCGAGUGGGGAAUAACCUCGGGAAACCGGGGCUAAUACCGCAUAAUGUCUUCGGACCAAAGGAGCAAUUCGCUGGAAGAGGGGGUCGCGGCCGAUUAGCUAGUUGGCGGGGUAACGGCCCACCAAGGCAAUGAUCGGUAGCCGGCCUGAGAGGGCGCACGGACACACUGGAACUGAAACACGGUCCAGACUCCUACGGGAGGCAGCAGUGGGGAAUUUUGCGCAAUGGGGGAAACCCUGACGCAGCAACGCCGCGUGGAGGAUGAAGCCCCUUGGG